ACGAACGCUGGCGGCGUGCUUAACACAUGCAAGUCGAACGGAAAGGCCCCUUUGGGGGUACUCGAGUGGCGAACGGGUGAGUAACACGUGAGUAACCUGCCCUUGACUUCGGGAUAACUUCAGGAAACUGGGGCUAAUACCGGAUAGGAAUCCUUGCUGCAUGGUGGGGGUUGGAAAGCUUCGGCGGUUUUGGAUGGACUCGCGGCUUAUCAGCUUGUUGGUGGGGUAGUGGCUUACCAAGGCUUUGACGGGCAGCCGGCCUGAGAGGGCGACCGGCCACAUUGGGACUGAGAUACGGCCCAGACUCCUACGGGAGGCAGCAGUGGGGAAUAUUGCACAAUGGGCGGAAGCCUGAUGCAGCAACGCCGCGUGCGGGAUGACGGCCUUCGGGUUGUAAACCGCUUUCAGCAGGGGCGAAGCUUUUGUGACGGUACCUGCAGAAGAAGCACCGGCUAACUACGUG
rnacentral:rRNA from 1 species